CCGCCCCCCGCAGUAAAAGCACAGAGUUUUAACCACUGGACUGCUGGGGAAGUCCCAAGUGACUAAGAAUACAGAGGGUCUUCCCUAUUAUAUGAGGACUACUAGGGGAAACUGAGGCAAUGGAUUCAAAAACAUUUCACAAACAGGAGCAACUGGAGAAGAUGAAGUCACAGGAUUAGAGGGAGGUUAGGGAUGGGCUUCCACCUAGGUUGGGAUUUUGUUAGGGGAAAUUAAAAAGUCUUGUUUAGGCUUCAGAGACAAAGCAGAGCAGGCCUUUGACCUUGCUUCUAACCUGCCUGGACACUGCCCUGACGGACUGGGGCCCCCACCCAGGUGGAGGACGGUAACUUUAGGCUGAGCACAGGAUUCCUGGAGCACCUCCCCCUUGCCUCACUACCAAACCAAUCAGAAGAAAGUUGCACAUAUUGCAGCCCUCACCCCACAGUUUACCUUCCUUUUCUGAGGACCAGUGGUGACCAUCCUGUCAGAUCUCCUGUUUGGCCCCUGUCUGUUUCAUCUCUUGACAGGGUCCAGUAGUUUCAGGCUAAAUUGCUGUUAAUCCAAGGAUGGAAGCCUGUUUCAGAUACAGAAUACCUCAACUAAGAUCAGGUAGAGAGAGACUUCUACUCUGCUAGGUAGGACUAUGCCCAUGCACAGUAGGAAGAAGUUACAGAAGAAAGAAACCUCUGCCCCAAUUCCCAAGAAGAACCCUUGGUUCUCAGAAGAAAGGAAAUCAGAACUUCCCAAGUACACACUAGAAAAGAGCAUUCGCCUUCCCUAUGGGUCAUCUGUAAAUCAGUGCCUGCCCCAUAACAGAUGCUGCCUCUCCGUCCAAAAUGGGGCCAAAUCUAUGGAGCCUCCUUCCAGCUCUGCCACAACAGCUGUGUGUCAUUGGCUGGGUCACCUUCCUUCUCUGGGCCUCCAGGCUCCUCUCUACGCCUCACCAGCUGGAAUUAGUUGCUGCUUCUCUGGGUUCCCACAACACACGAUUUACAACCAUCC